GACGAACGCUGGCGGCGUGCUUAACACAUGCAAGUCGAACGGAAAGGCCCUGCUUUUGUGGGGUGCUCGAGUGGCGAACGGGUGAGUAACACGUGAGUAACCUGCCCUUGACUUUGGGAUAACUUCAGGAAACUGGGGCUAAUACCGGAUAGGAGCUCCUGCUGCAUGGUGGGGGUUGGAAAGUUUCGGCGGUUGGGGAUGGACUCGCGGCUUAUCAGCUUGUUGGUGGGGUAGUGGCUUACCAAGGCUUUGACGGGUAGCCGGCCUGAGAGAGUGAACGGCCACAUUGGGACUGAGAUACGGCCCAGACUCCUACGGGAGGCAGCAGUGGGGAAUAUUGCACAAUGGGCGGAAGCCUGAUGCAGCAACGCCGCGUGCGGGAUGACGGCCUUCGGGUUGUAAACCGCUUUCGCCUGUGACGAAGCGUGAGUGACGGUAAUGGGUAAAGAAGCACCGGCUAACUACGUG
rnacentral:rRNA from 1 species